CCAGUUGCCCCUCUCAACCCUCAUAAAUUCACAAAAUCACAAUUCAUUGAUUCAUUAUUCACAUAUCUUUCAUCUUUCUCAAGUCUUAAACUCUCAAUCUCAGAAUCUCUCACAAUCUCAGUUAUCUAGCUGUCCCCUCUCAACCCUCACAAACCAAGUAAAAAAUAAUCAAUUUUCAUCUCCAUUUUCCCGAGUCCUUGACUUUACAAAUCUGGACAAACCAGUCAUAUUCCUCUCUCAGUCUCCCACAUGGGCAUGACACCCGACUUGACCCAACCUAGCCUUUAGAUCUAACAAACCAGUCACCUUUCUCUCUCACACUUGACCCGACCUUGAAUCUUGUGAUACCAGGUCAAAUAGAUGUCAGGUGCUCACAUAAUUAACGAUGGGGAUUUUGGAUCGCCUUUCUUUUAUAUCAAGGGAGUACCUGUUAGAUGGCUUUCCUCUAUUAUAUCUGAAAGGUAACACAUGCUCUAUAGAAGUAUUCAAGUUAAAAGAAUAUGGAUGGAUAAUGGAAGAGCUUAUCUCAGAACUAUUCUCAAUAGUUCUUUUAGGUAUUACAAAGAUAGGGGUUGAUUAAGUUUAUUGAUUCAAAAGCUCUCCAUUAAACUGAUAUUUAUGUAUUCCUCCAUCAUCAUUUUCAAGCUCUCUUAGUUGUCUACUGUUAGCAUGUGUGAUGUUGUUAUUAAUGGCAUGUGUUAGACCAUCAUCAACGAGGUUUACAAGGUCUACUGAAUUAUUAAUAGUGUUAAUUGUGGCUAGAGUUU